AGAGGCAAUGCAGUGUUCCUGAACAACCUGGAGGGAUCUAUGAGAAAGAACUCUAUCCACAUUCAGAGGAAAAACCGUGGGAGUAGAAACACAGAAGUAAAACAACUGCUUGAUUACAUGGGUCGAGGGGACACGGCUGGGGAGGUAGACUCUAAAUGAACAUCCUAAUGCAAACACCAACAACAUGGAAAUAGGUUCUGAUCAAGGACACAUGUAGUACCCAGUGGAAUUAUGUGUCAGCUAUGGGAGGGGUAAAGGGAGGGGAGGGAGGAAUAGAAAAUGAUUUUUGUAACCAAGGAAUAAUGUUGGAAAUUGACCAAAUAAAAAAAAUAAAAAAUAAAAUAAAAUCACUAUAGACAAUAUAAAAAAAUGUUAUCUUCAUUGUAACCCCACAGCAAUUCCAGGUGGCAAGUUCAUUAUUAUCCCCAUAUUAUAGUUAGGAAACAAGUGCAGACAGAGGUUACCCUGUGCUCAGGGUCACAUAACUAGUAAGUAUCUAAGUCUAAAUUUGAACUCAAGUCUUCCAUCCCCCAAGGUCAGCUCUCUAUCCACUGUACCACCUAGAUACCCAGAUACCCAAUAAGCAUGUAGAAAAGAAGCUAGAGACAGUAUUGCAUAGUAGAUAAUGACCUGUCACAGAGUCAGAAAGACUUCAAGUCAAGUUCCACCUCUAAUACAUACUGGCUGUGAGACUCUAGGCAAGGCAUGUAACCUCUCAAUGGCCUGGCUUACACUCUAAGACCAUAAAUGCUCAAUACUUGAAGCUCUUCAUUGAUAAGAAAGGAUUUUUGACAUGGGGUUUCCCUAUAUCAAUCAAAUGCCAGACUCAGACAAAAAAAAAAGAAAAAAAAAAAAAAACAAAAAACUCAAUUGGCUUCCAUGGCAGCUCAGUUUGGGUAACAAGCACGCCUGAACUUUUUCUCUUCUUUGGACCGGAGGCUAGUAUAGCGGCAGAAGAGAGGGAGAAGCUUAAAGUGUCAAGAAAGUAAAAAAAUUUCCCAGGAUGUUGGGUUUACUCCCUCCCACAGUCAUCCUGAGGGGACUCUAAUGGAAAGCUUCAAACACUGUGAGAAGUCGGUAUAUAACAGAAAAAAUUGGGAGUUUGGAUUCAAAUUUGUGCUCUGUCGUUUACUAGCUGUGUAACCUGGGCAAAUCACUUAACCUCUCUGAAGGAUCAGAGAUUUGGAGCUGGACUAAAGAAACUAAAGCUGAGAGAAAUUAAAUGAUUUGACCAAGGUUACACAGCUAGUAAAUGAUAGACAAUAUUUGAAUUCAGAUCCUCCAAUUCCCUGAUUUAAAAUCCAUUUUUCUUUCCAUUGAACCAUGUUUGCUGUUGCUUUGCAUUUGAAACUUUCUAUUUGAGCCCACCCAGAAGGCUGUGGAGGAGGAGGGAAGGGAGCAGAGUUUUCUUCAUUUUACAGAUGAAGGAAUUGGACUAGAGGACUUCUAGUCAUGAGAAGUGAAAGAUUCCUUCCAAACUUAUCACUAUUACAUCCAGAUAGCUAAGACAUCUC
rnacentral:lncRNA from 1 species